CAGUCCUGAGUCCUGAACGACCGUUCUGGGCUCCAUAACCAGCCAAGCGAAGUGAGCGAGGCAGGCCGACCUGAGUCGCGACGUGCACCGUUUUGACGUGAUUCGCAAACUUAGGCAGGCCAACUCGAGACGCAAGGGGUACCGAAGUGAGACGCCUAUCCGGGGGAGGACUUCGCUGGGACGGAAUAGAAAACUGAAUUAUUAUUUUGACUUAUUUUGUAUAUAAUUUAGAAUUAAUAGAUUUGCUUUAUUUUCAA
rnacentral:lncRNA from 1 species